rnacentral:rRNA from 1 species
CCUACGGGAGGCAGCAGUAGGGAAUAUUGGUCAAUGGGCGAGAGCCUGAACCAGCCAUGCCGCGUGCAGGAAGACGGCCUUCUGGGUUGUAAACUGCUUUUGACCGGGAACAAAAUGCCCAUGCGUGGGCGCUUGAGUGUACCGGUAGAAUAAGCGCCGGCUAGCUCCGUCCCGGCAGCCGCGGUAAUACGGAGGGUGCGAGCGUUGUCCGGAUUUAUUGGGUUUAAAGGGUGCGUAGGCGGGCUUGUAAGUCAGUGGUGAAAUCCCGCAGCUUAACUGUGGAUGUCCCAUUGAUACUGCAGGUCUUGAGUACCGUUGGGGUAGGCGGAAUUUAUGGUGUAGCGGUGAAAUGCAUAGAUACCAUAAAGAACACCGAUACGCGUAGGCAGCUUACUGAAUCGGAGAUCUGAGCGUCUGAGGC